GACGAACGCUGGCGGCGUGCUUAACACAUGCAAGUCGAACGGAGUGGCGAACGGGUGAGUAAUACGUGAGUAACCUGCCUUCUUCUUUGGGAUAAGCCUGGGAAACUGGGUCUAAUACUGGAUAGUGGGGGAUGGGCUCACGGCCUAUCAGCUUGUUGGUGGGGUGAUGGCCUACCAAGGCGGUGACGGGUAGCCGGCCUGAGAGGGUGACCGGCCACAUUGGGACUGAGAUACGGGCCAGACUCCUACGGGAGGCAGCAGUGGGGAAUAUUGCACAAUGGACGGAAGUCUGAUGCAGCGACGCCGCGUGAGCGAAGAAGGUUUUCGAAUCGUAAAGCUCUGUCCGGUAUCAUAGGAGGAAGCCCCGGCUAAAUACGUGCCAGCAGCCGCGGUAAUAC
rnacentral:rRNA from 1 species